GCCUCUGUAGCUCAAAGGAUAGAGCAACGGCCUUCUAAUCCGUUGGUUGCGCGUUCGAGU
rnacentral:tRNA from 1 species